CUCUAAUGUCAUUACAGAGACAACCACAACGAAGCCAUACACGAACUAUAUACAAUGCAACCAAAUAUCCUUAGUCUUGUAGCUGUACAUCACACAGACAGAACACCUGGCAGGCAGGUGCAGGGUUGCCAACAGAUGUCACGCCGAGCAGUGUUUACACGACAGCAGAAGAGGCAGGAUGGCUGAAGGCUGCUAUGAGGAAGGGUCACUUGCUCUGUUUUAUGGUGGCAGAAAUGAUGGAAGUUGGUGGGGUUGGA